rnacentral:rRNA from 1 species
GAUGAACGCUGGCGGCGUGCCUAACACAUGCAAGUCGAGCGAACAGACGAGGAUUUUGCUCCUCUGACGAUAGGCGAAGAGGGGUGUGUAACAUGAGUAUACUCCACCUGUAAGUCUGGGAUAAUCUCGGGAAACCGGCUCUAACCCGGUAUAAGAUAUUGAACCGUAUGGUUCAAUGGAAAAAGUCGGCUGUGCUGGAUCUAAUAGAGGGUUAUCGGCCGGUUUAGGUAGUUGGUACGGUAACGGCUUACCAAGGCGAGGAUGCGUAGCCGAGCUGAGAGGGGGAUCGGCCACACUGGAGCUGAGACACGGUCCAGACGCCUACGGGAGGCAGCAGUAGGGAAUCGGCCGCAAUGGGCGAAAGCUUGACGGAGCAAGGCCGCGUGAGUGAUGAAGGUCUUCGGAUCGUAAAGCUCUGUUAUUAGGGAAGAACAGAUGUGUACGUAGACGUGCAGGUCUUGACGGUACCUAAUCAAAAAGCCCCGGCUAACUACGUG